GUCUGUCAUGUCCAGCCUGUGAAGAGCACGCUGGCUGAGCUGGCGAGAGGGGUGGGGGCGUCCUGGGGCUGCUUCUGCUCUGAUGAAGGCACCCACUGUCACUGUCCCGGCCCUCGCUGAGUGUUCCCGGACCCGUGGGCCCGCGUCUGUGCCAGGCCUUGGGGAGCUCCAGCCUCGGAGCCUCUUCCCGUUCUCAGACCUCAGUGCGAGGAGGAAAUCGGGUGAGUUGAGGUUAAUGUUUCCAUUAAACCUGGAUGGAUUUUCCCUGCGUGGAAGGAGCUGUUACGCGCCAGGGCUCUGAGCAGCAUGGACGGGGCCCCAGCGCAGCCACGCUCCCGAACGAAUGCCCUCCUGGGAGGGCCCGGCUGCCUGCCUGCCCCCUGUGCCUCUGCCGCCAGGCCUCGCCCUCCCUCCUCUCCUCUCUUGUGAAUAAAGGGCCUCAACCCCACCUACCCGGUGUGCUGAGGGUCCUGCUAUACUUAAACUGUAGUUAAAGCAAAAACAAACAAACAAAAACAAAAAAAACAUGCAAAACCCCUGUGGCAACAGCUUGUCCCGUGGAUAUCAUCUCCACUAAUCCAUGUCUCCUGCUCGGGGUCCUGCGGUUUCCAGGCCUGUAUCUGCGGGUACUUAUUUUCCAUUUCCUCCCGAGAGUUUAGCCUGCUAAUGAGAUUUUGGUGUCUGGUAUCUUGGCACAUGUCUCCAAAGAGAUUUAUGGGGCUUCCCUCUCCUGGCCCCUCACUUGUCCUUGGCAGGAAGCUCAAGGGGUUCGAUGUAAUCUGCUCCAGGGCCCUGGGGAGGGGGCAGAAUGUGCUGGAAGGCAGAUCUGGGUGGGGUCUGCGGCCAGAAGCUGGAUGUCUGCUCUGGAGGAGCCAGGCUGGUGGCGUGUAGUCUGUGGUGGCCCUGGGAUAACCAGAGAGGGGUGUGGGUGGGGGGUCCCCUAGACCACCGGCCACCUCGGAGCCAGUCUACAGACUUGGUGUCUCCGCCAGCGCCAGUGAUCUGAGCCGAGCGCCCCCUGCUGGUGUUUGGGCUUCCCAGUCCCACUUCACAGUGGGGGCUCCCGGCUCAGACCCACCCAUCCAUGCCACAGCACUCAGCCUCUGCUCAGGGGCUGGAUCUGGCCGGGACCUUGGGUGCUCGGGGGCCCCAUGCUCUCCAGGGACAGGGACCUUCGGCUCCACCUGCUGCCUCAGGUGGUCUCAUCCAUGUGGCUUCAGCCCAUUUUCCAGGCAGGGGACAGAGCAGCAGUGACCACAGGGCUGUACAGACACCUGGGGCAGAAGGAGCUGUGGGCCCCUGCCUGGUCCAGAGGUUUCCAGGCCGCAAGCCUGUCCCUGGCUGCUGAACGCCGGCUGGGCUCGGCCUGGGUGGAGGAGAGGCCACAAGGCUUGGGUCAGGGAGGGCCUGACCUUGCUGUGACCUUGGGCACGUCUCCCUACUCUCAACAGAGUGGGGCUAAGAGCAGUGCUGUCGUUGGUGGGAUGGAGGGAAGAUGCCUCCCAGGGGGCGUUGCUGACCCAUGGUGGGUAGAUGCCCACCAUCACCCCAGCUGCAUUUCCUCCUGGGAUCUGGAGACUGCUCAGAGUGAAGGAUUCAAGUCUGCAAAAUAGAGGGGAGACCCCUAGGAGCUUGGGGACUGCGGAGGCCCCUAGGCCCAGGUGAGUCAUGCCAGGCUGCGCUCCAGAGGGCAGACAGGAGGUGAUGUGGGCCUCAGGGCUCUGAUGGUAGCAGCUGCUGGAGAAAGAGUGGCAUCAAAGUGGAACUGGGAGAGGGCUGGGGCCAGCUGCGAUGCAGGGAUGGGUGAGGUGCUGGCUGGCUGGGAACCCCAGCCUGUGGGGGCUUUGGCGGUGAAGGUGUCUUCCGGUGGAAAUGUCUUGGGGGAGGUGGCCUGGGGCAGCUCAGAGGCUGGCUGUGUCUUCCUGGCCCUGUCAUCCUUAGCAUGGGGCGUCCAGAGUUGUUGCCUUGUGGACCAAGACAGCCCACAGCCCAUGGCAGCUUCCAGAGCCAGAAGAAGAGGAGUCAUCUCUGAAGAGCCCUGGACUACCUCCUUGCGGAUCUCAUUGGCCAGAACUUUCUGGCUCUCAUGCUCACCACAAGGCCAAUCACUAGCAAGAUAAAAAAGGAGCACCCCGAAGGGCCGAGACCAGCUGUGCCUCCGGGCAGGGGAGGGGCUGCCCCUUCCUUACCUGAACUCAAUUCAUUUUAUUUUUAUUUUUUAACAUAAAAGGCAAUGGGAAUUCAGUGAGUGGACAGCUAGCCACCUCUGUGGCUGCCUGCCGUGUGAGCACGGGCCAUGUUCUAUCUUUGAUCUCCUCUGUGAAGCGGGAAUAACAGCAGGGGCUAGGUUCUGACCCCUCAGACCUCACCCCUGAGCUUUCCAAGCCUGCAUCCAUUUGCUCUUCAUCCCUACUCUCAAGACUUUCAGCAUCCCAUCUGCAGAUGAGGACUCAGAGGCCCCAGGUUCCGUAGCUGAGCUGAGGGGCCAGAGGUCCAGCCCAGAGGCUGUUGGCUCCGUGGAACCCCGGGAGCUCCCGGCUCCCAGUAGUGCAUGAAUGUGCAUGCGUGCAUGUGUGUGAAUGUGUGCAUGCACGUGCAUGUGUGUGUGCAUGCAUGUGUGCAUGUGUGUAUGUGCAUGUGUGUGCACGUAUCACGGACAAAUACACAUUAAAGUAUGAGUGGCACGGCCGUCCCCCCUCCGUCAUUCACUCACAGCCACAUAUGCAUAUGUGUGUGAAUGUGUGCAUCGUGCAUGUGUGCAUGUCUGAGUGUGUGCAUGUCUGUGAAUGUGUGUGUGCACGCAUAUGAGUGCAUGUGUGCAUAUCUGUGUGUGUGCAUGUCUGUGAAUGUGUGCGCAUGCAUAUAUGAGUGCAUGUGUGCAUAUCUGUGUGUGAGUGUGUAACUGUGUGCAUGUCUGUGAAUGUGUGUACGCAUGCAUAUAUGAGUGCGUGUGUGCAUAUCUGUGUGUGUGUGCAUGUCUGUGAAUGUGUACAUGCAUGUGAGUGCAUGUGUGCAUAUCUGUGUGUGUGCAUGCAUAUAUGAGUGCAUGUGUGCAUAUCUGUGUGUGUGUGCAUGUCUGUGAAUGUGUGCGCAUGCAUAUAUGAGUGCAUGUGUGCAUAUCUGUGUGUGUGGGCACGCCUGUGAAUGUGCGUGUGCAUGCAUAUAUGAGUGCGUGUGUGCAUAUCUGUGCGUGAGUGUGUGCAUGUCUGUGAAUGUGUACAUGCAUGUGAGUGCAUGUGUGCAUAUGUGUGUGUGUGGGCACGCCUGUGAAUGUGCGUGUGCAUGCAUAUAUGAGUGUGUGUGCGCAUAUCUGUGUGUGCGUGAGUAUGUGCAUGUCUGUGAAUGUAUACAUGCAUAUGAGUGCAUGUGUGCAUAUCUGUGUCUGUGUGCAUGUCUGUGAAUGUGUACAUGCAUGUGAGUGCAUGUGUGCAUAUCUGUGUGUGUGUGCGCGCAUGCCUGUGAAUGUGCGUGUGCAUGCAUAUAUGAGAGUGUGUGCAUAUCUGUGUGUGCGUGAGUGUGUGCAUGUCUGUGAAUGUGUACAUGCAUGUGAGUGCAUGUGUGCAUAUCUGUGAGUGUGUGUGGGCAUGCCUGUGAAUGUGCGUGUGCAUGCAUAUAUGAGUGCAUGUGUGCAUAUCUGUGUGCUUGAGUAUGUGCAUGUCUGUGAAUGUAUACAUGCAUGUGAGUGCAUGUGUGCAUAUCUGUGUGAGUGUGUGUGGGCAUGCCUGUGAAUGUGCGUGUGCAUGCAUAUAUGAGUGUGUGUGUGCAUAUGCAUGCACAUGUAUGAUGAGCCCAGCUACCAAGGCACCUGCUAAGCACAGCACCCGCACCCUGGAAACCCUCCCACAUGCCAUCAGUGAGGGUCAUGAGUCAGCAGAUAUGAUGUGCCUGACGUCAGUGCUCCUAAGAGAAGCCUAAACAAUUUUCAUAGGAAAUGCACCUAGGGACUGCAUUGUAUAAAUGCAACACUAAUGACAGAAAAUUUCAAAAAUACUGUGCACAAAGAAAAAUAGUCUCCCCUGUUAUCACAUCCCCCAUGUCACCCACCGUAAACAUGUUGAUGUCAAAGGCUUUCGGGUUUUGUCUGUGCACGUGUUCAUGUUAUUAGGUCAUUUUUUUUUCUCACAGGUUGAGACUGUGCUGCACUGCUGCUUUGUAAACCUGGAAGAUUUUUAUCGUGAAUAAAUACCUGCCGCAACAAUGCCUAAUGCUUUUGUGGGGUUCUGUUAUUUGGAUGUGCCACUGGCGGUGACGGCUGGCCCCUGGGUGGCCAUGUAAGGUGCUUCCAAAUCUCUGCGAUGGAGACGUCACCUCAGCUGCCUCUCCAGCCACGAGUCCUGGCACCUCCCCUGCCUCCUGCUUCCUGCUGCUGCUUCUCAGCCCCCAGGCACAUUCCUGCUGCAGGGCCUUUGCACAUCCCGGGAUUCUGGGGCUGUGCCCUCCCCAGGUCUUCUCACAGUCUGUCUGUCACUCCCCUGGGGCCUCUGCUCCAUUGUUUCUGGUCUGAUGAUACCUUCCAAGUCAGUCCUCUGGAGUGGCACAUUCGGGCCACAUGACAUGCCGGCCUACACUGUCCCCAGGGACGGUGGCCACUUGCCCUCUCGCUGCCUCUCCUCCCAUGCCCACCUCCCAACCCUGGCCAGUGUUUGAAAUCUCCAGUUCUGGAUUUUUUUUCACCCCCCAUGGCCAGCUUGGUGAGAAAUGACUUCUCAUUGUUGGAGUGUGUCUGGCUACACGCGAUUGUGUGUUUCUGUGCCUCUUGUCAUUUGCCCUUGUUUUAUGAAUUGCCACUUUGACCUUUUUGCUCAUUUGUCUAUCCAGUGCCUAUCUCUUCCCAAUGAUUCCUGUGUUCUCAGUGUAGGUGGCUGGGGAUGAGAACGGGAGCUUGUCCUCCCCCAUGCUGAGUCCAGCAUUCAGGAUGGAGUGACAUCUGGAUGGCCAUCAGCAUGCACCGGGGCUGGGGCUUCUCGAGGUCAGCAGGGUUUGAGGGUUGUCAGGGCUGUGUGCCACCAGGGCUUGGCAGGUCCCCAGGUGUGGCGUUUGCCAUGCUGGUGUCCCCUGCGCCACGGCACCUGUUCCCUGUGACCUUCCCCUGUUCCUGCUUCUCAGGUGAAACGUGGCCUGGAAGCUUCUGGUUAUGUGGAAGACAACAGCUAUAGAGGCCUCCCCGUGACCUCAGGGACCAAGGGCUGUGGAGAAGGGCUCACCGGGUGCAGACAGGGGCAGGUGGCCUGGGGGUCCCGAGCCAUGACAUCGGUCCUCUGUUUAGCCGGAAGGGUGCCUGUCAUUGGCACCAGCAGGCACAGGAAGGAGGGACCUUGUGUGAUGGCAGGUGGAGGGGUCUGCAUGUGUCUCUCCCUGCCAUGGCAACCUGUCUGCCCCCGUCCACCCUGCCUUCAAGUGCCAGAGGGUCAGGGGACAGCAAGGGCCACGGUGGCAGCAAGGACCCUGCAGAUGUUGCCCUGCAGUGCCCUGGAGAUCUGUAGACCUGGGGCCCCACCUGC
rnacentral:lncRNA from 1 species